rnacentral:pre_miRNA from 1 species
GGGGACGUGUAGGAUCCUGGACUGUGUCCCCCGGUGCCCUGGGAUCCAGGACCUGCACCACUGGAAUCGUGCUCCCAGGCAGCGCAACACCCU